AUGAAAUUCCCAGAGAUCGAAACCCAGGCGGAGGCGGAGUUCAUCGUGCCAAAGAGUAUUAACAUUCGGCGGAUGGACGAGAAGGAGGAGGAGGAGAAGAAGAAGCCGGCGAUUCGUGCUCCCGACGAUAGUGACGACGCGACGAUGGCGAGGUUCGUCUGGGAGCAUCCGGAGUAUGUUCCGGCCGAGCGGGGGUUCUUUUGGAAGCGCGAGGCCGAGCAGAAAAAGAAGGCGAUCGGCAUGUUCGACUCCGCCGACGUGGCCGCGCAUGUGUAUGACAUCGCCACGCGGCGUUUCGGCCGGCCGAGGCACGAGAUGAGCUUCCCGGAGAUCAAAACCGAGGCGGAGGCGGAGUUCAUCAAGCAAAAGAAUAUUAACAUUAGAUGGAUGGACGAGAAGAGUGAGGAGGAGAAGAAGAAGCAGGCGAUUCACAUUGGUCUCGACGAUAGUGGCGCGGCGACAGUAGCGAGGUUCGCGCGGGACCAUCCGAGUAUUUCCAAGCCGAGCGCACAAGUACAAGGGUUCCUCACCUGUCUGUCUCCGCGCUGUCUCCGGCUGACUACACCCACAACACCUGCUCCUCGCCGCCUGCCUCCCGCCGCCUCCUCCUCUCUCGCGGAUGGCAUCCACCGCGCCGCCGCCGCCGUUUCCGGACGCGGUGGUGAUGUCCGCCUUUUCUCCGAUGCUGUGGAGCUCACGGCACACCCCUCUCCCUGCCUACAAGACGCCGCUCGCUCCACCUCUCUCCACCCAGCCUGGUUUGCCUCCGACCGGCGGGUUCGUCGUCGUCACCGGCGGCUCACCUCUCCACGACGAGGAGAUGGGCAUCGGGCCACCUUCCUCGCCGCGGUGCCUUCCACCACCAGCAGCGCUGUCUUCUCCGGCGCCAGCGAUUGGAUCCCUGCUUCCGCACACCGGGAUGCGCUACAAGCCAAGAUCUACGCCGCCUCGUUCCGUCUACUCCAUGGUGCUUCCUACACGCGGCGGCGGGCACGUCGUCGCCGACGAGGAGAUGGGCGUGACGGCGUCGGGGACGCCUGCUCCACCUCCACCACCCCGCAGGCCUCCGCACGGCUCGUCGGCUCGGGAGCGGCCUUAUGGAUGGCCGACGACGCCGUUCCCUCCAAGUCCAAGCGCGCUUCCGUCUCUCGCUCCAGCGGGAACGGCCACCGCAAGUCCGGCGCUUUUCUCCCCUGCCGCAGCAGUCACAGCAACGCCGCCGUGUCCUCCGAGCGCGCCUCCCUCCGCUGCUGCUGCGGCGGGAACGGCCACGGCAACGCCGGUGUGGCCUGGAUCUUCAAGUUCGUCACCCCUCUCGCCUGGUGCAGCGGCCACAACAACGCCGCCGAGCUCUCCAAGUCCAAGCCCGCUUCCCUCUCAUGCGGCAGCUGGAACGGCCACCGCAGCGCGUGCAGCAACGUCGGCGCGGCCACGAUCUCCAAGUCCGGCGCUUCUCCCCCCUGCAGCAGCGGCGACACCAACGACGCCGCGCCCAACAAGCCCGCUUCACUCUCCUGCUGCAGCGGCCACACCAACGCCGCCAUGGCCGCCAAGCCGAAGCGUGCUUCCCUCUCCUGCUGCAGCGGGAACGACCACGGCAACGCGUGCAGCAACGCUGGCGUGGCCUCGAUCACCAAGUCCGUCGUUUCUCUCCUCUGCUGCAGCGGCCACACCAACGUCGCCGUGGCCUUCAAGCGUGCUCGCCUCUCCUGCUGCAGCAGGAACAGCCACCGCAACUCGCGCAUCAACCCCAGCGUGGCUUCCAUUUCCAAGUCCAGCGCUUCCCUCUCCUGCUGCAGCGGCCACAGGAACGGCGCCGUGGCCUCCAACUCUGCCCCCUCCCACUUCAGCGGCGCCGAGGUCUGGGCGUGGACGGGUGUCCCACCAGAGGCCGACACCACCGUGGCCUCCGGAGUCCAAGAUGACAAUGACGAGAGGGAUGAUCAGGAUGACAGCACUGAAGAUGCGGAGCUUCGUCUCAUGGCCGGGCACGAGCACGAGCACGAGCACGACACGGAGUAUCGUCCUCUCCGCAACAUGAGUAACCAAGGUGGACAAACUGCUGCUGCCCGCCGGCGUGCUGGUAGAGGAGGUGGAGGUGAUGGAGGAGGAGGAGGUGAUGGAGGAGGAGGAGGAGGAGGAGGUGCAGUUGGAGCUUCACAACCCCAAGGUGAGGAAUGGUACAUGACUCCUCCUAUGCUGGUGCUCGGUGUGGUGGGAUUGUACCUGGUAUAUCAUCUUGCUCUCACUGGGGUGUCCUGGAUUAUAAGUCUUCUCCCCAAGGAACGUCAAGGCAAGAUCGGCAACUGGCUCUGGGCUUCGUUUUGGGUGGCAACCAUUCCCUGUUUUGUCUUCCCAUACUUGAACCUAUGUGAUCGCUUCGCGCAAGCCAAAGCGUCUCGUGAGGCAGCUAGUCUAGCAGCAGCACCAAAUCAAGCAAAUGAGCAACCUCAGGACGCAGCUAGGGCGCCAGCAGCAGCAGCCAACCAAGCAAAUGAACAAGGUGAGGAUGGGCGUUACAGAUUCGGCAAAGCCGAUGCUACUGCCCUAAUGAUGUGGAUUGGCGGGGCUGCGAGGAUCGCAUUUCUCGUCUCCGGCAACUCCUUCCCUAUGGUCGCAGUUGCACACGCUGUGGCAUUCGUUGUUGAGGUAAUUGAGCUGCUCUUCAAAUACUUCGUGGAGGACAGCCGGAGGAUGGCGGGCAUCUCUUCCUGCGAUGCAAAGAGGGGAGGGGAGCUCGCGGACGCCGGGCUCCUCGUCCAACCGGUGCACGACGAGGUCGACGACACCGGCUAUCAAAACAGGCGGUUCUUCUUCGGCGACGGUAGUGGCACCCCUCUUCCCGCCGGGGUUUUCUCCACGGCCGGCAUACGCUCCACCGACACCCCCACGAUUAGAUUGAUGACAAUGAAUGCUAGUUUGUUCACUCAAAAUGGUACUGUUGAUGUUGUUCUUGUUGCUGUUCUUAGCAUUUUUCUUGAUGGUGUUAGUGUUGUUCUUAGCAUUGAUCUUGCUGGUUUGAGUGAUGUUCUUAGCAUUGAUCUUGCAGGUGUGAGUGAUGUUCUUACCAUUGUUCUUGAUGUUGUUGUUGCCACAUUUUUAGUUUGUUCACUCCACAUUGUUAAUGCUGCUGUUCUUAGCAUUGCUCUUGUGUAUGCUGUGCAAGUGUGUUGGAUGUUGUUCUUGCUGUUGUUAGGCUACGUGAAUGCAUAA
rnacentral:rRNA from 1 species